UUUCCCAUUUAGCCAGCAUUAGGGUUUUAAACCCUAAACUGAGCUUUUUCCACGCAAUCAGCAUUAGGGUUUUAAACCCUAAACUGAAUUUUUCCUUUAGUUAGCAUUAGGGUUUUAGACCCUAAACUGAACUUUUUCCUUUCAGUCAGCAUUAGGGUUUUAAACCCUAAACUGAGCUUUCCCAUGAAAUCAGCAUUAGGGUUUUAAACCCUAAACUGAACAUUUUCCUUUAGUCAUCAUUAAGGUUUUAAACCCUAAACUGAACUUUUUCCUUUCAGCUAGCAUUAGGGUUUUAAACCCUAAACUGAGCUUUUCCAUGCAAUCAACAUUAGGGUUUUAAACCCUAAACUGAAUUUUUCCUUUAGUCAGCAUUAGGGUUAUAAACCCUAAACUGAACUUUUCCAUUCAGCCAACAUUAGGGUUUUAAAC
rnacentral:lncRNA from 1 species